rnacentral:rRNA from 1 species
AUACGGAGGGUGCAAGCGUUGUUCGGAAUCACUGGGCGUAAAGCGCGUGUAGGCGGUUCGACAAGUCGAAUGUGAAAGCCCAGGGCCCAACCCUGGAACUGCAUCCGAAACUGUCGGGCUAGAGUCUCGGAGAGGAAGACAGAAUUCCCAGUGUAGGGGUGAAAUCCGUAGAUAUUGGGAGGAAUACCAGUUGCGAAGGCGGCCUUCUGGACGAUGACUGACGCUGAUACGCGAAAGCGUGGGGAGCAAACAGGAGUAGAAACCCCGGUAGUCC